GGACUCUCAGUAAAACCCCUGAUGUAGAGUACUAGAUACCAGAUAGUGGACAGGCACACGGAAGAUACUACAAAGAGAAGCUUUAUCUUUUGAUAAUUUCUGAGGUAUGUGCAGUGGACAGAGACCGCAGAGAGGAUAACUUUAAUGUAGAACCAAAAGCAUGAGCUGGAAGUAAUAGCAUGCUACAAAAGAAGAGGUUCACUGAAAAAAUACUGGCUCCAGAGACAAAUGAUUUUUAGAAGCAAAUGGACAUUUGAAUAUUUUCCAAACAACAUAUAUCCUGAGCUAAGAGAAUAUUCUUCUGCUAAAUCAUUUUGUUUGCAAUGAUUUGCACGCAGUAUCCCAAUUGGCUGGCAUAACUGUGGACAAAGUGACUUCAGAAAAAAAAGCAAGAUUCUAAAAACUGUGAUGGAAUAAACUGUUUCACAAUCUCCUCCAAUUAAAUUGUGAGAUGCUGGACCACCCUCACUUGUGGGGAGGCAGUAAUUGGUUCACAGAGCAACCAACAAUAACAACAAAAAAGCUCUCUGUUUUAAGGGUCCGGUCACUUCACCUCUUACAGUCCUUGGAGCCU
rnacentral:lncRNA from 1 species